rnacentral:rRNA from 1 species
UACGUAGGGUGCAAGCGUUGUCCGGAAUUAUUGGGCGUAAAGAGCUCGUAGGCGGUUUGUCGCGUCUGCUGUGAAAACCCGAGGCUCAACCUCGGGCCUGCAGUGGGUACGGGCAGACUAGAGUGCGGUAGGGGAGAUUGGAAUUCCUGGUGUAGCGGUGGAAUGCGCAGAUAUCGGGAAGAACACCCGUGGCGAAGGCGGCGUCUCUGGGACGGUGACUGACGCUGAGACGCGAAAGCGUGGGGAGCGAACAGG